ensembl:lncRNA
AUAUCUUAUUAUUGCUGACCCAGCUAAGGAAGAAAUAAAGUAAGCCUGCUGGAGGGGUUCACUUAGUGGAGAAUUUCGCUGUUCUCAUUAAAGGGACAAAAGGUGUUUGUGACAUUCUUUCUCUAUUAUUUUUUCUUGGAUAUGGGCAUGAUGCCUGGUGAUGUGAUAGCCAUCUUGACAGAAAGCGGGAAAGACUGAGAGGCUGCCAGAGAUACUGGGCUUCAAAUCUGUAUUCGUUUCUUAAAGCUGCAGCAAUAAAUUUACUACAAACUGGGUGGCUUGCUACAACAGCAAUUUAUUCUCUCACAAUUCUAAAGGGCACGAGUCUGAAAUUAAUGUGUCAGCAGAGCCAUGUUUCCACUAAAGGCUUUAAGAGGUAUCCUUCCUUCCACUUCUGGGAGCUCUGAGCAAUCUUUAACCUUCCUUAGGUUGCACAUGCAUCUCUCUAAUCUCUGCCUCCAUCCUCAUAUCACCACUAGUGCUUGAUGCUCUAGCCUUCUGUUCUCCUGUUGGGUAUUGUGGAAGCAUGUGUUGGUAUCAAGGUACCAUAAGAUCAAAGAAGCUGAAAUGCUGAGCUAACACCUAGGGGACAAUUGCUUAGAAAAUUGUCUGCAGAGAAUUUAGCAUAAAGAGGCUGCAUGAAAAUUGGAGGGUUGUUUUAUUUUUUUUAUCAUGGAAAACCUAAUCUGUCUUGAUUCACACACUAUGUUUGAUGGGUAAAGAAGGUGGAGAAGCUCUAAAUAUUUAUAUGUUAAUAUUCUCACAUGCAUCUUCCCAUUUAAUCAUCAAAACAGCCCUGCAGGUAGGUACUACUUUUAUAGCUGCUUGAUAGACAGGGAGACAAUGGCUCAAAGAAGUGAAGCUUCACAAGGGCCAUCAGCUACUAAGGUGGCAGAGGAGGGUCUUAAACUCAGGUCAGAGUCCAUACACCAGGAUUGCACACCCCAUUGCCUCCGACAGUGUUCAUUCACUCACCAGGCGGGGCACUGAACUUGGUCUCCACCAACAUCUCAAUCUUCCUAAGUCUGGUUAGUAGCAGUUUUGUUCAUCCCAAAUGAUCAUUUUCCUAAUUUAACUGAUUUUAUGGAACUUUUCUGCUGGUUAAGAUGAUGUAAGAAAACUAAUUUAAAGAGCAAUCAACCUGUAGUUAACAAUGCUGUAUUAUACACUGGAAAAAAUGGUAAAAGAGUAGAUCUCAUGUUAAACAUCCUUGCUCCAAUAAAAACCAAAAAACAAGAUGAAUUGACUUUCUUGCCAAUAUAAAGAGAUAUUCAAAUGCACAUGUGCAUAUUAUCAUAGUCCAACUUCUCUGUCAAGUACCAAAUAGACACAACAUUUAUUCCAGUUGUUUAUACUGUAUAUUAUUUUUAUUUCCAGAAUGACCUUGUAUGACCGCCUUAUUCAUGGAUUAAAUACAUUCCAGUAGUGUACACAUAACUAAUCUAUGGAAGGCAUGUAAAAUGAGAUUAGUUCAUGCAAAGUGGAGCGCAUUUCAUUUCAGUUCCCCUUCCAAGCUGAUUGGUUUAGCAGAAAUUUUCAUUUGUCCAAACUAUUCCAGUGAUCUAUUCUGCUGACUUCUCUCUCUGUUGCCUUUAGAAGUAGUCACGUUUCCAUUCAAACUAUUCCAACUCUUGUAGUAACCGCACUUCACAAAGCUUUAUGUAACAUCAAGUUCUUGUCCUGAAAAUAAAAGUCUGGUUACAUUCCUUGUGAAUGCCUUCCUUCAUCUGGGUGGAAUUGAAACUUUUCUGUUUUAUCAGUUCAGAUAACCACCAGGUCACACAGAGGCCACAAAGGAAUCAACAGAAAUGCUUGCUGCUCAACACUUUGCUGGCUUCAGCCACUGCCUUUAGAAAGUCAAUAGAAUGUAUUUUCCUGACAUAAGCUACCUACUUUUUAAAUUUCCCUAUGCCUUUCAUACUCAAGAAGCUGUGAUUCAAAAACUAAAUGAAAUUUCCCUGUUUAUGUUAAAAGUCUACUCCAGAUAUUUUCAGUGACUAUUUUGUCUUUUUAAAGUGUAUGGAUUUCAGAUACAGAUAGAUAGGAUUCUAGUCCAUGACCUCUGGUCUCUCAACUUGCUAUUGCUUUUAAUAAAAAUUAGAGCAGUUGGCUCUGUAGCAGUCAGAUUUGAUUGUAGUUCCUGAUAAAGUAAGCCUUUAUCCAUUUAAAUCCUACUUUAAAGGACAUCAGGACAACCAACCUGAAUUUUUAAAAACUAUUAAUGUUCUGAAUGUUCUUACAAAGUAAGAAAAAGAAACAUGUUCCAAAUUUUUCUGACAUAGUAUUAAAGUUGUACUUCAAUAUAAAGCCUUGAGUGGUAUUUGAAGACAUCUGAUUAAAUGCUUACUGGCUUAGGAGUGCUGAGCAUGAAAUUAAAAGUCAGCAGAAAGUAACAAUGAUGACUACCUACUACUAAAGGAAAUGUAAGUGGCUUUACCCUACAGCCCUGCACCAACCUUUUCCUAGUUGUGCAUUUCCACAGAUAUGGAUUCAGCUUUAUUCCUUCGUUAAGUAAAAUAAGUAAGGAUGAUGGCGGUCAGUUGCCUCUAAAAAGGUAAAGCAUUCCUUCCAAAUCCAUAUGAUACCAUGUCUAUGUCCUAGUUUUACCUAUGCUACCAUAGAAAAGACCUAAAACCGAGUGUGGAAUAUUUUGGUCCUAGAAGCCUAGCAAAAAUGACUUGUACAUACUUCAUAACAAAAGUUAUGUACUUAUCUCAUCAAUAGGUUAUAAUAUUGGUGUUGCUUAUCAUCUCAAAGAUCCCAAAGAGUCAUGUUUAUAAGAAAGACAAUAAAUCAUAUGAUAUCUGCCAUUCACAAAAAUAAAAUUAUACUUAAUAUAAUGUUAGCAAGGGCUCUUAAUAGGGAAUUUUUUAAAAUUCAGACUUUGAUAUAUGUUUUGGUACGUGAUUGCUGGAUAAAAACUAUUCCAACACAGUUAUUUAAAGCAAAAACAAAUGGAAUAGGAGAAAGUAUUUGUAAACCUUGUAUCUGAUGAGGGGUUAGUAUCCAAAAUAUGUAAGGUACUCAUGUAACUAGAUAGCAAGAAAACAAAAACAGUAAUACCUGUGAACUAUUAUUCAGCAAUAGAAAACAGUGAGCUGCUAUCACUUGACACAACAUGGAUGAACCUAGAGGACAUUAUAUUAAGUGACACAGAAAGACAUUGUGUGAUGUCGCUUAUAUGUAGAAUCUAAAAAAAAAAAAUUGAGUUUGUAGCAGCAGAGAGGAGAAUGGUGGUUACAGGGGUUUCAGAGUGGAAGAAAUGGGAAGAUGUUGGUCAAAGGGUACAGAGUUUCAAAUAUGCAGUACGAAUAAGUUCUGGAGAUCUAAUGUAUAACAUAGUGACUAUAAAUAAUACUGUAUUAAAUAAUUCAACUUUUCUAAGAGAGUAGAUCUUUUUUUUAAAAAAUUGAGGUGUUAUUGAUUUACAUUGCUGUAUUUUAGGUGUAUAACAAAGUAAUUUUUUAUUACAUAUAUAUAUAAAGAGUUUAAUAUUUUUUCAGAUUAUUUUCCAUUAUAGGUCAUGACAGGAUAUUGAAUAUAAUUCCUUAUGCUAUACUGUAAAUCCUUUUUGCUUGUCUAUUUUAUAUAUAGUAGUUUAUAUCUGUUAGUUCCAUAGUCCUAAUCCCCCUCUCCCCUCUGGUAACCAUUAAUUUGUUUUCUACAUCUGUGAGUCUUUUUCUGUUUUGUAUAUAGAGUCAUUUGUGUUAUUCAAUUUUGUUUUAUUUUAUUGCUUUUUAGGGUCACACCUGCAGCAUAUGAAAGUUCCCAGGCUAGGGGUCAAAUCACUCCUGUAUUUUCCAGUGUAGGCCACAGCCACAGCAGCAAUGGGGGAUCUGAGCCAUGUCUGUGACCUACACCACAGCUCACAGCAAUGCCAGUGCCUUAAUCAUUGAGUGAGGCCAGGAACUGAAUCCACAUCCUCACAGUUACUCAUCAGGUUCAUUACAGCUGAGCCACAAUGGGAACGCCUCAUGUUAUUUUUUAGAUUCCACAUAUAAGUGAUGUAAAAUAUUUGUCUUUAUCUCACUUAUUUUACUAAGUAUAAUAUUCUCUAGUUGCAAAUAGUGCUGCUACGAACACUGGGGUGCAUGUAUCCAUUUGAAUUAGAGUUUUCAUCUUUUCCAGAUAUAUGCACGGGACUGGGAUUGCUGGAUCACAUGGUAGUUCAAGUUUUAAUAUUUUAAGGAGCCUCCAUACUAUUGCCCAUUGUGAUUGCACCCAUUUAUAUUCCCACCAAUAGUGUAGGAGGGUUGCUUUUUCUCCACGCCCUCUCCAGCAUUUACUGUUUGUAGGUUUUUUAAUAAUAACCAUUCUGACUUAUGUGAGGUGAUACCUCAUUGUGGUUCUGAUUUACAUUUCUCUAAUUACUGAUGUUGAACAUCUUUUCAUUUGCUUAUGGCCAUCUGUAUGUCUUCUUUGGAUAAAUAUCUAUUUAGGUCUUCUGCCAAUUUUUUGAUUGGGUUGUUUGAUUUUUUGAUAUUGAACUGUAUGAGCUAUUUUCAUAUUUUGGAUAUUAACCCCUUGUCAGCUGCAUCAUUUGCAAAUAAUUUCUCCCAUUCCAUAGGUUGUUUGCUCAUUUUGUUUAUGGUUUCCUGUACUGUGCUAAAGCUUUUCCAUUUGACUAGGUCCCAUUUGCUUAUUUCUCCUUUUAUUUCUUUUGCCUAGAGUAACUGAUCUAAGAAAAUAUUGCUAUAAUUUAUGUCCAGGAAUGUUUUGAUUUUCUUCUCUUCUAGGAGUUUGUAAUAUCAGGACUUGUAUUUAGGACUUUAAACCAACUGGAGUUUACUUUUGGAUAGGAUGUGAAGGAGUAUUCUAAUUUCAUUGAUUUAUGUGUAGCUGUCCAGCUUUCCCAGUGGCACUUGUUGAAGAGACUGUCUUUUCUCUAUCGUAUAUUCUUGCCUCCUGUAUCAUAGAUUAGUUGAUAUAGGUGUUUGGGUUUAUUUCUGGGAUCUCUAUUCUAUUCCACUGAUUUCUAUGUCUAAUUUUGUACCAAUACCACAUUGUUUUGAUUACUGUAUCUAUGUUGUACAGUCUUAGGUCUGUUGUGAGUCUUAGGCAUCAAGCUUUGUUCUUUUUUCUCAGAAUCACGUUGGGUCUUUGUGAUUCCAUAUAAAUUUUAGGGGUUAUUUGUUUUAGUUCUGUGAAAGAUAGAAUGGGUAUUUUGAUAAUGAAUGCAUUAACUCUGUGGAUUGUUUUAGAUAGUAUGACCAUUUUAACAAAAUUAAUUCUUCCUAUCCAAGAGUGUAGGAUAGCUUUCCAUUUCUUUGAAUCCUCUUUAGCAGUGUUUUAUAGUUUUCAGCUUAUAGAUCUUAAGAAUUCUUGGUUAAGUGUAUUUAUCCCUAGGAUUUUUUUGAACAUUGUUUUAUUUUAUUGAAGUAUAGUUGAUUUACAAUGUUAUGUUAAUUUCUGCUGUACAGCAAGAUGAUUCAGUUAUACAUACAUGUGUGUAUGUGUAUAUAUAUAUAUGAAAUACUCUUUUUAAAAAUAUUCCUUUCAAUUAUCAUUUAUUAUAGGAUAUUAAAUAUAGUUCUCUGUGUUGAUUAUCCCUUUCAUGUAUAUUAGCUUACAACUGCUAGCCCCAAAUACCUACCCUCAUUCCCUCCCCCUUGGCAACCACAAGAUUGUUCUCUAUGUCUGUGAGUCUGCUUCUGUUUUUUAGAAAGGGUCUUUUGUGUUAUUUAUUUAUUUUUUUUUUAGAUUCCACAUGUAAGUAAUAUUAUAUGGUAUUUGUCUUUCUCUUUAUGACUUAAAUCACUUAGGAUGAUAAUAUCUAGUUCUGCCUAUGUUGCUGAAAAUGGCAUUAUUUCUUUCUUUUUGGCUUAGUGGUAUUCCAUUGUGUAUAACUACCACAUCUUUUUUAUCCAUUCAUUUACCAACAUAUGUUUAGGUUGUCUUGGCUAUUGUGAAUAGAGCUGCAAUGAACAUAAGGGUGCAUGUAUCUUUUUGAAUGAAAGGUUUCUCUGGCUAUAUCCCCAGGAGUGGGAUUGCUGGAUCAUAUGGUAACUUUAUCCUUAAGUUUUCUGAGGAAUCUCUGUGCUGCUCUCCAUGAUGGUUGCGCCAGUUUACAUUCCCACCAACAGUGUAAAAGUAUUCCCUUUUCUUCACAACCUUAAGAGAAUAGACCUUAAUUUUUCUCACCAAAGGAGCUGGGGAAAACAGAGAACCAUGUGAGAUGAUGUAUAUGUUAGUUAUCUUGAUUGUGAUAAUUAUUUCACUAUGUAUACACAUAUUAAAACAUCCUUCAAUAUAUACAAUUUUCUCAAUUAUACUUCAGUAGAACUCAGAAAAGUAAAAAUAGUAGUUCCCAUUGUGGCUCCGUGGUUAAGGACCUGACAUUGUCUCUAUGAGCAUGCAGGUUUGAUCCCUGGCCUUGAUCAGUGGAUUAAGGAUCUGGUGUUGCCACAAGCUGCAGUGUAAGUCAUAGAUGAGCCUUGGAUAUGGUGUUGUCAUGGCUGUGGCAUAGGCCACCGCUACAGCUCCGAUUUGACCCCUGGCCUGGGAACUUCCACAUACCACAGGCACAGCUGUAAAAAGAAAAAAACAAACAAAAUUGUUUCCUCAUGAAUCUUUAAUUGGACAACAUUAUGUCUGGUAUAUUUGCCUCUGUCCUCUAUGCUAUGAGUUGGCCCAAAUGAGGCUGAUAGAUGCUGUUCUAAGUGGCUUACUCACAUGGUAAACAAAUCUUUUAUUGCUGUCACAUGGUAGCUCAGCCAGGGCUGUUGCCUAGAAGCCUAGAUUCUUGCUCACAUGAACCUGUCUGCGGUGCUGCUUUGGCUGUCUCAGAGCAUGGAGACUGAGUUCUAAGAAGGAGAAAACAGUCUUAGACGCACUAGUCUUCCUAAAGACGCAGCCUCAACUCAGGUGCAACAUCAUUUCUGCUUAUAUUUUAACUGUGAAAGCAGUCCCAAGCCAGCUAAAGCUCAAGUGGGUGAGGACAUAGACUGCAUUUGAUAAGAGAGUGGCUUGCAUGUGUAGGAAAGGAAUAAAUUGAUACUAGCCAUCUUUGCAUACAAGCCCCCACAUUGUAAUUAAGAG